GCAACUUGGGGGAAUGCCUUCUUAAUAUCAUAAAAUGAUAUAUUAGGUUUUUUUAAUUUGAUAUAUUUAUUUAUUAUAUUUAAGAAUUCAAGAAAUUUGAAUGUAAUUCUAGAUAAAAUAUUGAUAAUGACAAAGUUUUAUCUAUAUGUCUUGACCAAAUCUUGUGCCAGCAGUCGCGGCAACACAAGGAAGACAAGUGUUAUUCAUCUUAAAUCGGUUUAAGGGGUACCUAGACGGUAAAUUAGCCUUAAAUGUGGAACUUUUUACUAGAGUUAUAUAUGCGUGAGGAUUAUAUGUAAGUAUUACCAGAGUAGAGAUGGAAUUUUUUGAUACUGUUAAGACUGGUAUAGGCAAAAGCAAACCUUUAUAUAUUAACUGACGUUGAGGGACGAAGGCUUGGGUCGCAAACAGGAUUAGAUACCCUAAUAGUCCAGGCAGAGAAUUAUGAAUGUUAUAGAUUAU
rnacentral:rRNA from 1 species